GACGAACGCUGGCGGCGUGCUUAACACAUGCAAGUCGAACGGAAAGGCCCUGCUCUUGUGGGGUGCUCGAGUGGCGAACGGGUGUGUAACACGCGGGUAACCUGCCCUUGUCUUUGGGAUAACUUCAGGAAACUGGGGCUAAUACCGGAUAGGAGCUCCUGCUGCAUGGUGGGGGUUGGAAAGUUUCGGCUGUUGGGGAUGGACUCGCGGCUUAUCAGCUUGUUGGUGGGGUAGUGGCUUACCAAGCCUGUGACGGAUAGCCGGCCUUAGAGGGUGACCGGCCACAUUGGGACUGAGAGACGGCCCAGACUCGUACGGGACGCAGCAGUCGAGAGUAUUACAGAGUGGGGCGAAGCGUGAUGCGGCAGCGCCGGGAGCGGAAUGCUGGGCUUCGGGUUGUAAACCGCUUUCGCCUGUGACGAAGAGGGAGUGACGGUAAUGGGUAAGGAAGCACCGGCUAACUACGUG
rnacentral:rRNA from 1 species